rnacentral:rRNA from 1 species
AUGGCGUCCUCUUCUGCCGCUCUCCUCGCGGUGCUCGUCGUCGUGAGCUGCGCGGGCAUGGCUGCGGCCACGUCGUACACCGUCGGCGACACCAAGGGCUGGGUGACCGGCGUCGACUACUCCGGCUGGACCAGCGGCAAGUCGUUCGCCGUCGGCGACACGCUAGUGUUCAGCUACGCGAGCAAGGUGCACACGGUGACGGAGGUGAGCCAGGGCGGCUACACGUCCUGCUCCGGGAGCAACGCGCUGGCCAACUUCGACAGCGGCGCCACCACCGUCACGCUCGCGACCCCCGGCACGCACUACUACAUCUGCAACAUCCCCGGCCACUGCGCCAGCGGCAUGAAGCUCGCCGUCACCGUCGCCGGGGGCGGCUCGUCCCCGGGAGGCUCCGCCGGCGGCUCCCUGGCCCCGGCGAUGGGCGCCGUCGUCGCCGCGGCGGCGGGGGCUCUGAUCAAGGUGGCGCUGUUCUGA